rnacentral:rRNA from 1 species
GACGUAGGGUGCAAGCGUUGUCCGGAUUUAUUGGGCGUAAAGAGCUCGUAGGCGGCUCGUCGCGUCGACUGUGAAAACUCGGGGCUUAACCCCGGGCUUGCAGUCGAUACGGGCGGGCUGGAGUUCGGUAGGGGAGACUGGAAUUCCUGGUGUAGCGGUGAAAUGCGCAGAUAUCAGGAGGAACACCGGUGGCGAAGGCGGGUCUCUGGGCCGAUACUGACGCUGAGGAGCGAAAGCGUGGGGAGCGAACAGG